UGGAGCGCAUGCGUAGCGAGCG
rnacentral:misc_RNA from 1 species